GGCGACGCCGGAGCCGGUCACGGACACCAGGAAGCGCCGGGAGCCCAAUCCCUGCAUCCCGAGGGCCACCACGUCCCUGCUGUCCCCACGCUCCCUGUGCCGGGCGCUCACCAGGGCCGGGCAGCGAUGCCGGAAGAAAGCCAUUCCCGGGAAGGACUUGUGCCACAUCCACGCCUCCGGCAGCAGCUCGGCCAUGGAUUCAUCCCCUGCUUUUGACCCUCCACCCCCUCCCUGAGGGCUUUUAAACCCCCUUUCUUUUUUUUUUUUUGGCUCUCCCAGAUCCUGGCGGAGAAUACGUGGAUGCCGUUGGAUGUGGGUUCGGGGCAGAGGCUCCUCAUCCCGCCAAUUUUAGGUUAUUUGCAUAUAUUUGGUUAUUUGCAUAUAUUUUAAUAAAUGCCACGUUUCCAGCUGGA